CCUACGGGAGGCACCAGUAGGGAAUCUUCGGCAAUGGACGAAAGUCUGACCGAGCAACGCCGCGUGAGUGAAGAAGGUUUUCGGAUCGUAAAACUCUGUUGUUAGAGAAGAACAAGUAGGAGAGUAACUGCUCUUACCUUGACGGUAUCUAACCAGAAAGCCACGGCUAACUACGUGCCAGCAGCCGCGGUAAUACGUAGGUGGCAAGCGUUGUCCGGAUUUAUUGGGCGUAAAGCGAGCGCAGGCGGUCUUUUAAGUCUGAUGUGAAAGCCCUCGGCUCAACCGAGGAAGGUCAUUGGAAACUGGAGGACUUGAGUGCAGAAGAGGAGAGUGGAAUUCCAUGUGUAGCGGUGAAAUGCGUAGAUAUAUGGAGGAACACCAGUGGCGAAGGCGACUCUCUGGUCUGUAACUGACGCUGAGGCUCGAAAGCGUGGGGAGCAAACAGGAUUAGAUACCCGCGUAGUC
rnacentral:rRNA from 1 species